UACGUAGGGUGCGAGCGUUAAUCGGAUUUACUGGGCGUAAAGCGGGCGCAGGCGGCCCGUUAAGACAGGUGUGAAAUCCCUGGGCUCAACCUAGGAAUUGCGCUUGUGACUGGCGGGCUCGAGUACGGUAGAGGGGGGUGGAAUUCCUGGUGUAGCAGUGAAAUGCGUAGAGAUCAGGAGGAACACCGAUGGCGAAGGCAGCCCCCUGGGCCUGUACUGACGCUCAUGCACGAAAGCGUGGGGAGCAAACAGG
rnacentral:rRNA from 1 species